rnacentral:rRNA from 1 species
UACGUAGGCAGCGAGCGUUGUUCGGAAUUACUGGGCGUAAAGAGUGUGUAGGCGGUGCUCCCAGUCUGUUGUGAAAUCUCCCGGCUUAACUGGGAGGGUGCAGCGGAAACUAGAGUGCUAGAGGGUGGGAGAGGUAAGCGGAAUUCCCGGUGUAGCGGUGAAAUGCGCAGAUAUCGGGAGGAACACCGGUGGCGAAGGCGGUUCUCUGGGCCUGUACUGACGCUGAGGCGCGAAAGCGUGGGGAGCGAACAGGAUGAGAAACCCGAGUAGUCAGACCAAUAUCCUCGUAGCCACC